UGGAUAGUAUCCUUUAUGGAGCUAUACCAUAUUAAUGUAUUUGAUAAAAAAAUAUAUAUAUUCGGGAACUGCUCUGAACCUAUGUGGACGGAGACAGGAGG
rfam:Caloranaerobacter azorensis H53214 contig3, whole genome shotgun sequence.